UACGUAGGGUGCAAGCGUUGUCCGGAAUUAUUGGGCGUAAAGGGCUUGUAGGCGGUCCAUCGCGUCGGGAGUGAAAAGCUGGGGCUUAACCCCAGUCCUGCUUCCGAUACGGGUGGACUAGAGGUAGGUAGGGGAGAUCGGAAUUCCUGGUGUAGCGGUGAAAUGCGCAGAUAUCAGGAGGAACACCGGUGGCGAAGGCGGAUCUCUGGGCCUUACCUGACGCUGAGGAGCGAAAGCAUGGGGAGCAAACAGG
rnacentral:rRNA from 1 species